rnacentral:rRNA from 2 species
AGACCCGAAACCCGGUGAUCUAGCCAUGGGCAGGUUGAAGGUUGGGUAACACUAACUGGAGGACCGAACCGACUAAUGUUGAAAAAUUAGCGGAUGACCUGUGGCUGGGGGUGAAAGGCCAAUCAAACCGGGAGAUAGCUGGUUCUCCCCGAAAGCUAUUUAGGUAGCGCCUCGUGAAUUCAUCUCCGGGGGUAGAGCACUGUUUCGGCUAGGGGGCCAUCCCGGCUUACCAACCCGAUGCAAACUGCGAAUACCGGAGAAUGUUAUCACGGGAGACACACGGCGGGUGCUAACGUCCGUCGUGAAGAGGGAAACAACCCAGACCGCCAGCUAAGGUCCCAAAGUCAUGGUUAAGUGGGAAACGAUGUGGGAAGGCCCAGACAGCCAGGAUGUUGGCUUAGAAGCAGCCAUCAUUUAAAGAAAGCGUAAUAGCUCACUGGUCGAGUCGGCCUGCGCGGAAGAUGUAACGGGGCUAAACCAUGCACCGAAGCUGCGGCAGCGAACGUAUCACCCAAGACAACUUUACGGAGUUGACGAUUGACGGAGCGAAGCGACGUCAAAGCGUUCAUUAAAGUCGAGUUGGCUUAGGGAUACGUUCGUUGGGUAGGGGAGCGUUCUGUAAGCCUGUGAAGGUGUGUCGUGAGGCAUGCUGGAGGUAUCAGAAGUGCGAAUGCUGACAUAAGUAACGAUAAAGCGGGUGAAAAGCCCGCUCGCCGGAAGACCAAGGGUUCCUGUCCAACGUUAAUCGGGGCAGGGUGAGUCGACCCCUAAGGCGAGGCCGAAAGGCGUAGUCGAUGGGAAACGGGUUAAUAUUCCCGUACUUGGUGUUACUGCGAAGGGGGGACGGAGAAGGCUAUGUUGGCCGGGCGACGGUUGUCCCGGUUUAAGCGUGUAGGUGUGUGUUCCAGGUAAAUCCGGUUCACUUUAACACUGAGGCGUGACGACGAGGCACUACGGUGCUGAAGCAACAAAUGCCCUGCUUCCAGGAAAAGCCUCUAAGCAUCAGGUAACACGAAAUCGUACCCCAAACCGACACAGGUGGUCAGGUAGAGAAUACCAAGGCGCUUGAGAGAACUCGGGUGAAGGAACUAGGCA